rnacentral:ncRNA from 2 species
UUCUUAUCGAGAGAGGUGGAGGGACUGGCCCUCUACGAAACCUCGGCAGCGGACUCUUAGAAGUACUGUGCCAAUUCCAGUAGUUAUUUACUUGAAGAUGAGAA